GGGGGGGCUGCUGGAGCUGGUGGAGAUGUGGACUGGUGAGCUCCGAUAAAGCCGAGUCUUGCCAGGAAUGGAUUUGCAGAUGAGCUGGUCUGAUGAAUGAUGCAAUCUUUCCCUACAGUGGGAGAAAGUUUGCCACCAGGCUGCCGUGUUGAAAAUGGACGUAGGGGAGACAGAGAGGGACUCAGGUGGACUCAGACGGAGCUUUGGCUCGAGUGCAGCUUACCCAAUUUGCAGCAGCUGGAAUGUGAACCUGGACUGAAAAAGAUGACCACAUUAGCCUCGUCCUGACCUCCUUGCUUUUGCUCCAAUUUCAAGGUACUCCAGCUGACAUAACAUUACAGGGUCUUGCACCAUCUGAAGCUGGUCCGGACCCACGACGCAGCGCUCCUGCGCACAACACAACCAUCAGAACAGCCUUUGUUAUUUGGAAUAGUUUUCCAGCCCUCAAGAAGGAAUACAGUAACCCUUUGUAAUACAAAUACCACAUCUACAAGGCAUUAUAGGGAUAUUUAUUUUGACCUCUAAAGCCUUUAACACUUGUUAAUUUUUUGGGCUUGGAUUUCUUUUUUUUCUUUUUUUCUUUUUUUUCAAAAAGACAUUUAUGCAUAAGAUGUUGUUAGAGCCUCUUUGGAGAUGCAGUCUUUUCACACAACUGUGACGAAAAUGAAGGUCUAAAAGGGAUACGAGGUUAUUAUCCCACAGAAGCAAACUCUGAAAGCAGCUCAUGUUGUGGGAGUCGCACACACAAUCACACGUAUACAUGCCCACAUGCUUACAUUCACAUACGUGCACCCACACAGAGUAUAUGGGCACAUGCAUGGCCAAGUGAGCUGAGCUGAACUGAUAUGCAGACUUUCACACACACAACUCAACCAUACACACAUGCACGCUGCCCUAAAAUGGCACUCCCACGUUCACACACACACACACACAGUGUCUUCACCAGCCAGAUGUGAGAAGGAUUAGCAAAGUUGGCAGACAACACUGAGCUCCUUAUCCUCUGGAGCUAAUUCACUUUACUACGCUACCUCUGCCUCUCCUUCUCACCGCCAAUCUUUGUCUCCAUCUUCACCUUAUGAUUUCCCUCUGUCUCUUUUGUCUGUCUCUGUCUCAGUCUCUCUCUCUUCUUCUUCUUCUUCUUCUUCUCUUUCCUGUCUGUCCUCGCCCCUGUCUUGCUUCUUUCUCUCCUCCAUUAGCUCUUGAUUUGCUUUGUGAGGCAGGUGACGUUGUCUUGGAAAGCUCUCAGUGCCUCCGCUGGUAAAAGCUGAUAAAUGUGCAGAUGACUGACGUGAUGACUGUGUCAGUGUGACUUUGAAGCUGAGUAACUGACCUGUGUAGGAAGGUCAGAGUUAUAGAUUUAUGAUGGCAAACUCAGACUUACCUUGGUGUCAAUUUGGUCAUCUUCUGGUUUGACCAGAGCUGGCAUGGAUUCAGCAUCUUUUUAAAAAACAUGUUGAUUGUUUAACACCAGAAACUGGCACCACAAAAUUAAUCUAAUUUUGUUAGAUGUUACAAAUACCCAAAGGGUUAACUACUCUAGCUGGCGAGCCUGCCGCUAACACACUAGUCAGUCACUGUAGCUCCUGAAGCGUCUUUGUAUUUAUCUCUUACAGUGACAUUUACUCUCCUUUGGCAUUUCCUUCUCAGGAUUAUAAAGCAUAAUUUGAAUUAAUAGCUAUUGGGCUUGCUAACAGCAUUCUAAUUAUCAUUUAACUUGAUGUUAGCUUGUUAAUGGAACUAUUCAUUCACACAGUUUUUUCAAAAGGCGUGCUGGUACCAUCCUGUUUCAUAACUGUCAGCAAGACAGAAACGAGCAUAUUUCCCAAAAAGUUGAGCGUUUUUUUAAAAUGGUGUGUGGUGUGACGGUUUAAACCUGGGUCACCCAGUUGAAGGACAGCCACCGUCAUUGGCAUGUGUCACCCAGUGGAUACCGAGCAGUUCACAGUGCAGUGAGUGCAUGAAUCUUGUGCAUAAUUGGCUCCGAUGGGACUGACUGAAACAACCUUCCAACCUGACCCCAGAUGACAUGGCGCAACCCAACCCACGCUCGGGCAAAGUCUGAGCCAAUAAGGUCUAAAAAUACUGCACCUGUGUAAGUGGUGGAUGAUUGCAGAGGUUAAGCAGCAAAGAAUAAGGACCUAUUCUACAAUUAAGACACAAAGAGACAAUUUUUCAAAGAGGACCUCCCUGAAAAGUGAGCAUGCCCUCUGAAAAAGGUGCACCUAUAAAGCACUAUUUUACUGUAAUUCAGUAAACCAAAUGGUAUGGCAAAAGACCCAGCAUAUAAAUGGUGUCAUUUAUCAUUGAAGUGUACCGUUCCAGGUAUAUUGAAUACAGUUUUGGGGACAACUGUAGCCAUGAUGAAUAACAAAAUAUUAUGUCUGCUUGAUGAUAAAUCAUUUGGCUUAGAGGUCACCACAUUAUCAGAACACAGGGAACAUUGGUUCUUUUUUUUGUGUAGCUUCCAGGAAAAACUGCUUCUGUUUCUUGUGUGUAGUUAAUCCUGUUUUCAGUGCAGUGAUAAUCAAAUGAUGAAAAUAAAAGAAAUUUCUUCUCUGCAUGGAUAUUUGUGUGUUUGUAGUUACUGCAAGAGCUGUUGUAAAAGUGAAUGCACACCUUUCCUGUGUCACAGCCGAUUAGUCUUAUGCCCAAACUUUAUACCUGUUUUAUAGUGUUCAGUAAUGACUGCUCUCUGUAAAGGUGAAGUAUUGGAAAAAUUAAAAAGAAACACCUUUUCAGUCUUCCUUUUAUUCUAAAA